ACAUUUUCAUUCGUUCAACCUUCUACCACUGCAAACCCAAGGAGCCAGAAGUUGAGGAUGUGCCAAGGACUAAACAACUACCAGAAACUCAUCAUCCAGCAAGAAUCACGCACACAGGGUUCAAUCAACACACAAGUCAGUCGUUCCUCCUCCCCUUUUCGGCAGUUCCUCUUCAAAGAAUAUGGUGUGGACUCAGGCCACUCAGCCUUUAGAGAUGAAAUGGUUAUUUGAUCCAUCUACUUUUAGGUGCCCUAAAAGAAUGGGUAGAACUCUCUGGAGAUGCACAAGAGCCCCAAUGAUUUGGACUAUUUAGGAAGAAUGGAACCAAAGAAUCUUUUCAGAUAAGGAAAGAAGUAAGGAAGCAGUAACGAAAUACACUAUGAACAGGGUGAUACAUUGGGUGAGAACACUGGACAGCUUCUCGCAAUUCUCCUAUGAUGAUAUUUGGAGUGAACAUACCAAACAAAGUACUCAAAUAUGGAGCCUGACAAUUUAAUAUGAUGCAAUUGCUGAAUGCAUUUCAUUACUGUACCACUCAAAUAAUUGAGUAGUUGCAGGCAUGCUAAAAGCCAUUUUGCAGGCAUUUCAUUACUGUACCACUCAAAUGAUUGAGUAGUUGCAGGCAUGCAAAAAGCCAUUUUGGACAUGAAGCAGUUCAA